rnacentral:lncRNA from 1 species
CUUCCUUCUGUUGCUAAUCUCUAGGUUGCUCUAAGGUCCCCAUUCUGGCUUCCCAGCUUUUUUACUUCUGUGGAUAACCAAUUCUUUGCACUAGAGUCUCUCCGUCUAAAUAUUCAGAUUUAUAUUCUGAAUAUAUUCUGAAUAUUCUGAAACACCAUGUGGAUGACAUACCCAGACAAAAAAUGCUGUUUAUGGACUUUGAGGAAAUUCCACACCAUGGACUGCAGGUGCUUCAGGGCUGUGGGGAGGCUGAACCCAGGAGAAUUUCUGGGAAAUACAUAAGGCACCGGGAGACCAGGAUUCUAUGGUUGUUCGUUAUGCAGCAGAAGCUGACCAAUAUGGCUCCCCUGGAAAUUGGCAGAUUCACUUCAUUAAUCUGGUUUGGAUUUUGUCUUCAUACGGUAAGCACGGCAGUGUCAGAAAAAGAGCAAGGAUCAGAACACCGCUUGCUGAGGCUGAGGGUACUUGCAUGAGGCAACAAACUGGGAUCACACCCCCUCGUGUCUUCACGCGGCUACAGGAGACAUGGUGGGCAAACAUCGUGCUGCGGUUUCCCCUGUAUCACUCCGUGUUCCCACGGAACGCAGGACUCUUGAGCCGAAUGGGAAACAAAGUACCAUAAUAUGACUUGUGCUAGAUCUGAGACCUCGCAACAGGAACCUAUACAGGUUGGUGAGCCAGAAUUGGUUCCAGUGCCUCAGUGAUAUGAAUUGUUUAUAAACUCCUGCGAGCUUGGUAAACACGUCGUAUUGUCACUGUACUGAAGAGUCUGAAGGACAUGUGAAGAAGCUUUCCUGCUGUGACUGGGAUUGGCUGAAGUUCAAAGCACAACGGCUCAGCUCAUCACCUGAGAGCCUAAAAUAAACUGGCGUGCAGCUGUGGAUGACAGGAAACUUUCAGUUCAGAGGCAGUGGCUGGAGGCACUCCCCUACACGGGCGAAGGAAACCCAUUCUUUCUGUACUUAAGUAUUCAUUCCUUGCAAGGGGCUAGAGGGACAUGUGGGCAGAGUUCUGUGCGAAGCAGCCUUGCUCAUGUGGAGAGACAGAGAAUUUGCAGUGGCUAUGGGUUAUGAAUGUGAUAAUAUUUUGCUCCCAGUUGUUGUGAAGAUUGAAUAAAAUGGUAUGUGUAAAUGAUUUAGUGCAAAUCCUGCCUCAUAAUAAGUGUAUACUAAAUCUUAACUAUUAUUAUUAGCAGUAUGAUUAUUAGCAGAAUGAUCAAAUAGAGAAUAUCAUCAACUGUAGAAAACAAUGUAACAUUUUCAAAAGUUGGAGCCGAUCUGAAUCAUCACAUACAGCUGUUCCUGAGGAAAGAAGAGCAUUUGAAAAAUUGUAAUGUAUUCUUGCAACAAGUUUCAUAGAGGCAAUACAUUGGGAAAAGUAUAACAGGUAAUCAUGAAAAAGAAAACUGAGAGUGGGAAAGUGCUCUUGGAAAUGCAAUCAUAAUUGCUGAAUUAUAAACAGUAAGAGGCGAUGAAAAGCAACUUGAAACAUGACAGAGUAUUGAUUCAGGAAAUUAGGAAACAUGUUCAAGUUCCUGGAACUUAAAAGGAAAAAGAUAAACAAAUUCAAAAUGUUGAAAGAAAGGGUUAGAUAUAAAAUUCGAAGAUUUAAUAUCUGCUUAAUAGGCAUGCUAGAAAGAAAAGAGUAGGUAGAAGAAAAACAGCAAAGAAAAAAUAGGCGGAAAUGUUUGUAACCUGGAAAAAAAAAGUGUGUAAGUCCGGAAGUAGAAUUCAGCAAGUACCAUUCACAAAUUAAUUAAAGGCCACAGAUGCUUAGAAAUCAUAAAGAAACUUAAAUGUAGAGAUUGAAGGGAGGAGUAACUGGCUGGCUCAGUGUGAGUUUGAGUCCCACAUUGGGUAUAGAAAUUAUUUUUAAAAAAUUAAAGAACAGGAGCGCCUGGGUGGCUCAGUGGGUUAAAGCCUCUGCCUUCAGCUCAGGUCAUGAUCUCAGGUCCUGGGAUCGAGCCCCACAUCGGGCUCUCUGCUCAGCAGGGAGCCUGCCCCCCUUCCUCUCUUUCCCUCUGCCUGCCUCUCUGCCUACUGGUGAUCUCCGUCAAAUAAAUUUAAAAAAAAAUUAGAGAUCGAAAACCCUGAAAGUACACUGAGCCAGGUUAGAGGAAGAUUAUUAAUUAAAAAACAAAAGUAAAACUUAUAUCAGAUAUUUGUAAAAUGUUAAAUGCAAGAAGACUAUCUUGAUAUUUCAAUGAAAAAUGAUUUUCAAUAAAGAAUUAUAAAAUAUUGGGGUGUCUGGGUGGCUCAGUGGGUUAAAGCCUCUGCCUUCAGCUCAGUUCAUGAUCCCAGGGUCCUGGGAUCAAGCCCCACAUAGGGCUCUCUGCUCAGCGGGGAGUCUGCUUACCUGCCCCUGCCCCCGCCUCUCUACCUACUUGUAAUCUCUGUCAAAUAAACAAAUAAAAUCUUUAAAAAAAUUGUAAAAUAUUUGCAAUUUUGCAAAUCUGACAGGUAAUAAACUACAUCUCAAUUUAGUUUUAAUUUGCAUUUCUCUUAUUAUAAGAAAAGUAAAGCAUCUUUGCAUAUGUAAUUCUUUCUCUGUGAACUGUCUGUUCUUAUCCUAUGCCCAUUUGCUGUCUUUUUUGCUUCUUAACUGCUGAAAACUUUUAAAUAUUGGGGAGAUAAGCAUACUUUGUAGCAUAAGCUGCAAAUAUUGUUUCUAGUUUAUUACGUAUACUUCUUAUAAAUAUUCCAGGAAGUCAAAUAUUGGCCUAAAGUAUAAAUAAUUAGUUUAAAUAAUUAGUAAUAAUUAAUAAAACCUGUAGUUGUUAUUCAAAUAAUUGUUGACAUGAAAGUAUGGUUAUAAAAGUUAGUAUACAUUUUCAACAUAAUUAUUUAAGAAUACACACUUGUGUAUUUACACUUGUGUAUUUACACAAGUGUGUGUAUUUAAGAAUACACACAAGGUGCCUGGCUGGCUCAGUGGGUGGAACACAAGACUCUUGAUCUCAGAGUUGUGAAUUCGAGCCCCAUGUUGAGCAUAGAGCUUACUUUGGAAAUUUUUUGAAAAAAGAAAAGAAUACACACAUAAAAAAUAAAUUAACACUUGGAACUUAAGGCCCGAAUAAUCCCACCAAAAUGAGGCAAUG